GCUGGAGCACUAAAUAUACACUAACUGGAGUGCUGGAAGUAUUCUGCUUGCCUGGACUAUUCACAGCUUCAGGUGCUGUUCCUUAAAACACUGUUGUCUUCGAACUAGAGACAAGAUAUUUACCAAUCCCUUUACUUGAAUCACAUCAUCUGUCUACCUGGUGAUACUUUUCAAAGAUGGGAAAGCUGCAAAAUGGAACUUAAAGAGGAAUGUGAAAGUCCUUUGCAAGAAAAGACAAAUUAUGGGACUUUCCUGUACUAGGGAGACAGCUCAUACCAUAAGAUCAAUACACAGGAGUCUGAUUGUUGGCAACUGCAGGAAAGAAGCUGUAUUAGAGGAAGGUAGUCCUGUAGAGAGUUCCCUAGUGUUGUGAAAGGAAAAAGUUCAAUUUCUUUUUUUGUUAUUAGUUCUUAAAAGGAAUUUUGAUGGAGAGGAAAAGCAAUAUAUGAAAAGAUUGUUCUCCUUAAAGCCUCUGAC